GUUUAAACGGAUGACGGAAGGCUCCCUGGCCAAUGGGGACACGUAAUGGUGGAAUGGCGUCACGGGGCUCGUAAGCGCCAGUCCUUGAUGGAGAAGGCGGUGCCAGGGGGCGGGAAGGAGUGGAGAGUAACCAAUGGGGACCUUGUCUAGGUCGGGCCAAGCCGUUCGUAGCCAACGAAGUUCGUCAGUUUUGUAUAUGCAAAUUAGGUGUGCGCGGCCGUCCGCGCCCGCUCCUCAGCCCGCGGUGGGGAUGGGCGCUGGGAGUCGGCUGCAUUUUUCUACGAGGCGCCAUUUUGUGCGGGCACUGCCCUGUGACCCGUGUCGUGUGUCGCGGGCGGGGCAGGAGCAGGUUGCACGGCCUUGAGGGCUUGGCCGUCUGUGGCCUGUGACUCUGGCCAGGCGGCAAUCACGACGUCGGGUUUCUGUUUCCCCACACGGGAAGCGGGCGCCGGGCUCCCUCCGGAUGUGCCGGAAGGAGGUCGGGGCCUGGCGCUGCCCACCAGUGGUCCUGUCUCCACCCUGUAGCCCCGCGGCGGUGUCCCCGUGUCCCCGACGGACCUCGCCACCCUGCAGCCCCGCGCCGGGGAAUGGUGUCCCCUUGUCGUCGCCGUGUCCCGGGCACCGGCCUCGGCCUCCCAUCCCUGCCCGCCACGCGUCCCGGGAAGACCCCUGAGCUGCCUCCCUCGUGCAUGCGGCCCGAGCUCCAGCAGCAGGGACCCCACUGUUGUGGUCGUAAGCAGCACCCAUGGAGGAUCCGCCGCGUACUGGCGAGCCCCAGCUGGCCCUCAGUCCCAGCCAGUCGGUUGCAGGGGACUCUGACCCGAGGGGCGCUCAAGGACACUGAGGGAAAAAGCAGGGGCCUCGCCCAGGUUCCCCCCCCCCAAGCAGAGACAAGGUCGAGGUGGUAUGGUAGUCAAGCCCGGCCCUGCUGCAAGGAUGCAUCCAAAAGACACAACCGUGCCGAUAGUGACGGUCACGAUGCAGCCCCUGCGAGCUGUGUGCCAGGCACUGCCCUCGUUCCAUUGCAGACGGCAACCCUGUCGGGUGGGAGCGCGAUGUGCACGCACGAAGCUUUUGGAAUAGGCGGAGGGAGGAGCCGCGGGAGGCUCUGAGCCGAGCGCGACUCCGUCUGACUUCUGGUCGAGAACAGAGAGGCCGAGGAGGAAGUGCUGGCAGCCAUGGAGGUGGGGAUGAAGACCGUGCUGAGCAGACCUGCAGCCUGCAGAACCAGGAGGUGGCACAUUUCUGUUGCGUGAGCUGCUCGGUUCAGCGGCCCCAGCAAACCAACAGCACAGAGCACCCCGCUUCGGCCAGACUCAGCCAAAGGCCUCAGGUAGAAGGAGGUGCAAACACAUGCUUAAAUGCACAGAGGGAAGAGGCUUUCUUUGGAAGAAACCGAGGACUUUUCAAGGUGCUGUACCGGUCCCUCCCACACCCAGCUCCUUGCUUGGUGACAGACGGGGGGGGGGGGGGGGGGGGCAGCCCUGACCACCGGUAUGGACUCUUAGAUGCCCACCCCCGCCUCGGCCAGUGACACACACGCAGAGGUGGAAACCCAUUUCUUCUCGACAGUAAACCUUGAGACUGGG